UUUCUUGAAAGGAAGAUUGCAUGCGUUAUCCACUUAUCCCCCUUCUUCAACUCCUUCCUUCAACAAAUGCCCUAGCGUCCACCAAAGAAAGCAAACCUAGCAGCCUCCACCAAUCGUUGUCGCCGUCUGUCGGAGUGAGAGACUGCUGCCACCGUCUGUCGCACUCAAGAACUAUCGUCUUCAUGGUCUCGGGCCUCUCGCCAGAUCCUCCGCUUCGUGCGCUCGCAUCUCCCCUCUCUCCUCUGUGCUCGGCUGCUCGUGCCUCCCUCCGCCAGUGAGUGCUCGAGCUGUGCGCAUUGGUUGCUGCUCGUUGUCCGUGGUUGUCUCUACUCGAUUCUGCCUCCCAGUGUCACUCGAGCCUCAUCUUGGUCACUGGCAUCUCGUGGUUCGUCUGUCUCAUCGCCGGCGGCAGAAGUAACUCGUUGGGUUGUCUCUUGCUUCGUCGCCUUCUGUGGGUGGUUGCCAACUCACCGUCAACCGUUGGUUCAGUGUUGGCUUCAACUUUCAAAUGGGAAUUGGGAGCUGGUGAAGAUAAUAACAUCUUAUGGAACUGAGUCUGAUCUAGAAUUAUGCUAGUACACAGUGAUGUUUGUUCCAUUUGGCUGGACUCAGUGAGACAACUUGAAAAUGUUCUUUUUUGGUCUGAUUAACUACAAUAUUUAACCUUGUUAAUCAUAUCUUGUACAAUUUAGACAAAAGCAGGGCCUAUUUUGGUUGCCAUAAAUUCUUUCAAGAAAGUUCUUCUGUAUGGUAAUAAUUGUAUUGAAGCCUACAAUCAUAAAAGAAUUAAAAGGGCCUGUUUUAUUUUACUUUUUGACUCAAUUACUUUAAGGCAAUAUUGUCUAUCUUUAACUUGUGCACUGCAAUUCAAUCCAGUUAUUUUUAAUGGAAGUAUAAUGAUGUUAAUUUU